UUCCAUGAUACUCCUGGGUGAUUGGCUGAAAUCUCCAACAGAGCUCCCCAUCUUCAGGGACACAGCUCCCAUUGAACAAGGGAGGGGGGGAAUAAAUGUCCCCGAGCUCCUGAAAGAAGGGGGGCCAUUGGCUGGGUGACAGCUUGCUCUUUGAUCUCCCCUUCACGCCUCUCUGAAGGAGACAGGGGGAGGGCCCAUCUUCACUUUUUAUUCCCCCUCCCAACCUUGCUAUGCCCCUGCACAUCUUAUACCAUGACUUUUCAUCUUCCAUGUCAGUAAUGAUGAAUUUAAGGUCAUGAAAUACUUCAGAUUCUUAGGUUCUGGUGUGUGUGACCAUUUAUCUCUUGGAUGAUUUUCAUAUUUAGGUCAUUACUGAAGGUUCAUUAAUUUGAUGACAAGCUGCUCCACUGAAGCCUUCAACUGGACAUACAGCGUUCUGUCAUCUUAGUCUUUCACUGGCUGAUAAGUUUUUAAUUUCCAGAGCUCUGAUGGGUGGUCUUAGGUUUGGCUUCCUAUUCUAAGGUGUUUAAGUCCCAUCUCUGACUUUUUCUGGGAGCAACGGUGUGAUGGAUAAAGCAGACUGCACAAUCCCCUUGCCACUCUUGUUAUGCUGAGAAGACCUUGUUCCUCUAUCAAGUCCUCCAUCACUGGGAGAAAAGAAAAGAUGAAUGUGAUUCUGUUUCUUAGCAUCUCUAGCCUCCUCUGCUCUGCCCAGGUUGAAGCUCUCUUAUGCCGUGUCUGCAAAGCCUACCUAAGAAAUGUUGGAUGCGUCCAGGGAGAAGGGGUUUGUGAAACUGACCAGGAAUAUGGAUGUAAGAAAGUCACAUUCUUUAGAGAAGGUGAAACGGACUUUUCCCUAAAAGGAUGCAUCAAUUCAGGGGAUGGAUGCAACAUCAUCAAAGAGGACGAGAAGUUUGGCAUGCUCAUAAGAGAGUGCUGCAGGGACUCUGAUUAUUGUAAUGAAUAAAG